rnacentral:rRNA from 1 species
AGCGAACGCUGGCGGCAGGCCUAACACAUGCAAGUCGAACGGCCGUAGCAAUACGGCAGCGGCAGACGGGAGAGUAACACGUGGGAACGCGCCCUUCGCUUCGGAAUGACCCAGGGAAACUUGGGCAAAUACCGGAUUACACCUUACGGGCAAAGAUUUAUUGCCGAAGGAACGGCCCGCGUCCGAUUAGCUUGUUGGUGAGGGAACGGCUCACGAAGGCGACGAUCGGUAGGUGGUCUGGGAGGAUGACCAGCCUCAGUGGGACUGAGACACGGACCAGACUCCUACGGGAGGCAGCAGUGGGGAAUAUUGGACAAUGGGCGCAAGCCUGAUCCAGCCAUGCCGCGUGGAUGAUGAAGGCCAUAGGGUUGUAAAGUCCUUUCGGCGGGGAAGAUAAUGACGGUACCCGCAGAAGAAGCCCCGGCUAACUUCGUGCCAGCCGCCGCCGUAAAAC